ensembl:lncRNA
GUCCGCAGACAGACGAGAAGAAGCUGCUGAAUGCUCUCAGUGGAUCGUCUCGUCAACUCCAACAACAAACUGCCGAUAUCAACGAGCGGUUCGCUCCACUGGAGCGUUUGGGACUCUGCGGGUUUCUGUCCAUGGAGGAGAGGAACUGACUCAAAGAAGAGGAGACGGGCGCACAAUCCCAAGAUAGGGUAAGAAUACGUUCGAUGACUGCUAGCUAAGCUAAAAGUAGCGUAGCCUCAAACGAAAGCUAAGAGUAGCCUAGUAGCCUUACAAGUGAACAGAAACAGCUUUAUUAAAGUGUGUUUUCUUUGCCGUGUCGUUUACAGGAAGCGGUGCGCCGUCUCCACAACACCGAGACGAAUUACAGGCGCUACGAACCGGAGCAAGGACUAAUCUCGCCUCAUAAUGAGGCGGUGACCUUGUAUUUGCUCCGGGAAAAGUCCAGAUUUAGACGACGUCAUUGUGUCCGCCUGUAAGACGUAUUUUGAGACGGGACGCAGGAGCUUCAGGUUCAGCCGGAACACUCAUUGCGGGCGGAAGCUGCGAAGGAUUCAGCGCGGAGUCAAGCGAGAAGAAAGAGGCUGCUGGAAUCGAGACAAAGUGUGCUGGCUGAUGGUGGAACUCUGGAAAUCCACCACCGUAGAGCUCACGUCGGACGGAGAGGAUGGCGUUGUUGGCGGUGUCUCGGGGUGGAUUGUACGGUCGCCGCAAUUUCUGAGUCAGUCCCGGUUAGAGGCGACUCAGAAAUACAGAGCCACACACACUAGGCGCCUGCACAACAGACCUGCCUCGGAAAACACGGCGCAAGUGACGGUCAACAACCCCGAGGAGGCAAACGGACAGUUUACUGAGCUGUAGUUUUUUAAACCGCCUUUACCCAAGUGUGGGCAGAUCCUCACUUUGUAUGUAGUUGUUGAUUGUGUGUUGUUAAUAAAGCUCUUUCUUUGCA